rnacentral:tRNA from 1 species
GCGAGGGUGGCCGAGCUUGGACAAAAGCGGCGGACUUAAGAUCCGCUCCCGUAGGGGUCCGUGGGUUCGAAUCCCUCCCCUCGCA